UACGAAGGGUGCUAGCGUUGUUCGGAAUCACUGGGCGUAAAGCGCGCGUAGGCGGCUUCUCAAGUCAGGGGUGAAAUCCUUGGGCUCAACCCAAGAAUUGCCUUUGAAACUGUGAAGCUGGAGUACUGGAGGGGAUAGCGGAAUUCCUAAUGUAGAGGUGAAAUUCGUAGAUAUUAGGAGGAACACCGGUGGCGAAGGCGGCUAUCUGGACAGUAACUGACGCUGAGGCGCGAAAGCGCGGGGAUCAAACAGGAUUAGAUACCCUGGUAGUCCGCGCUGUAAACGAUGGAUGUUAGCCGUUGGGGGGUUCCCCCUCAGUGGCGUAGCUAACGCGUUAAACAUCCCGCCUGGGGAGUACGGUCGCAAGAUUAAA
rnacentral:rRNA from 1 species